rnacentral:rRNA from 1 species
AGUGAACGCUGGCGGCGUGCCUAAUACAUGCAAGUCGAACGGAGUGGCGCACGGGUGAGUAAUAUAUAGCUAAUCUGCCCCUUGCUGGAGGACAACAGUUAGAAAUGACUGCUAAUACUCCAUAGCAAGGGAUGAGACUAUAUCGUAUCAGCUAGUCGGUGGGGUAACGGCCUACCGAGGCUAUGACGCGUAACUGGUCUGAGAGGAUGAUCAGCUAUAUGUGAACUGAAACACAUGUCAAACUCCUACGGGAUGCAGCAGUAGGGAAUAUAGCGCAAUGGGAGAAACCCUGAAGCAGCAACGCCGCGUGGAUGAUGACACUUUUCGGAGCGUAAACUCCUUUUGUUAGGGAAGCGGUACCUAACGAAUAAGCACCGGCUAACUCCGUGCCAGCAGCCGCGGUAAUUC